rnacentral:rRNA from 1 species
GACGAACGCUGGCGGCGUGCCUAACACAUGCAAGUCGAGCGGAGAUGAUGUGAGGAAGUUUUCGGAUGGAAUCACAUUAUUUUAGCGGCGGACGGGUGAGUAACGCGUGAGCGACCAACCUUGCACAGGGGGAUAACGGACCGAAAGGUUCACUAAUACCGCAUGAGACCACGGUGUUGCAUGACACAGAGGUCAAAGGAGCAAUCCGGUGCAAGACGGGCUCGCGUCCGAUUAGGUAGUUGGAGGGGUAACGGCCCACCAAGCCUAUGAUCGGUAGCCGACCUGAGAGGGUGAUCGGCCACAUUGGAAACUGAGAUACGGUCCAAACUCCUACGGGAGGCAGCAGUGGGGAAUAUUGGGCAAUGGGGGAAACCCUGACCCAGCAACGCCGCGUGAAGAAGAAGGUUUCGGAUUGUAAACUUCUGUCCUUGGUGAAGAGAAGAAGACGGUAGCCAAGGAGAAGCCCGGCUAACACGUG